rnacentral:rRNA from 1 species
GAAGCGUGGACGCCAGUCUGCGUGGAGCCGACCUUGAAAUACCACCCUUUAAUGUUUGAUGUUCUAACGUGGACCCGUAAUCCGGGUUGCGGACAGUGUCUGGUGGGUAGUUUGACUGGGGCGGUCUCCUCCUAAAGAGUAACGGAGGAGCACGAAGGUUGGCUAAUCCUGGUCGGACAUCAGGAGGUUAGUGCAAUGGCAUAAGCCAGCUUGACUGCGAGCGUGACGGCGCGAGCAGGUGCGAAAGCAGGUCAUAGUGAUCCGGUGGUUCUGAAUGGAAGGGCCAUCGCUCAACGGAUAAAAGGUACUCCGGGGAUAACAGGCUGAUACCGCCCAAGAGUUCAUAUCGACGGCGGUGUUUGGCACCUCGAUGUCGGCUCAUCACAUCCUGGGGCUGAAGUAGGUCCCAAGGGUAUGGCUGUUCGCCAUUUAAAGUGGUACGCGAGCUGGGUUUAGAACGUCGUGAGACAGUUCGGUCCCUAUCUGCCGUGGGCGCUGGAGAACUGAGGGGGGCUGCUCCUAGUACGAGAGGACCGGAGUGGACGCAUCACUGGUGUUCGGGUUGUCAUGCCAAUGGCACUGCCCGGUAGCUAAAUGCGGAAGAGAUAAGUGCUGAAAGCAUCUAAGCACGAAACUUGCCCCGAGAUGAGUUCUCCCUGAGACUUAGAGUCUCCUGAAGGAACGUUGAAGACGAC